AUGAGCAAUCUCCACAUGCUUUCUGAAUUGUCACUAAGUGGGAACAAGAUACCUGGAUCCAUACCAACAUCAAUUAAAUUAUUGCAAAAUCUCAAAUCACUUGACCUUAGCAACAAUCAUAUAUCAGGUGCAAUGCCGCCAUGGAACAUUGAGAAAAUUUCAUCACUGUUAGGCCUUGAUUUGUCCAACAACGAGCUAACAAGCAAAUUUUUGCCUAACUUCGGCAACCAUUUAAUUGUGUCCCUCAAUUUGUCAUUUAACCAGCUCAAUGGGGAGGUGUCCCUCUCUCUGCAAAGUGCAAAGUACAACCGCAGCUUCCUUGGAAGCCAUGGGCUCUGUUCCAAGUGGGACUCGAGGAUAAAUCUCCCAAAAUGCCAUGGAGGCAGCCACCUCCAGAAGUGUGUGAUAAUUUUGUUAGUGCUCGAUAUCAGAGUCAUCACCGUUUCCAUGAGCAUCAUCAUAUGGCUGCUCUUUCGGCGGCGGAAGAACACACAAGUGGUGAAAGAAGUUGUGGCUGAUUGGAAAAUGACACCAUUCACACCUCUGGACAUCACAAAAUCCGACGUGCUCAACAACAUAUCUGAGGAGAACAUUAUUGUCAGCGGUGGGUCUGAAAAGGUGUACCAUGUCCACCUCCUAGCCUUGAUGGUGCCACCAAGGAUCGCAACAGCAGAAUAG
rnacentral:rRNA from 1 species